ensembl:snRNA U6 U6 spliceosomal RNA
GUGCUUGCUUUGGCAGCAUAUAUACUAAAAUUGGAACAAUACAGAGAAGAUUAGCAUAGCCCCUGCACAAGGGUGACAUGAAAUUCAUGAAGUGUUCCAUAUUAAA